GGGGGGGGGGGGGGGGGGGGGGGGGGGGGGGGGGGGGGGGGGGGGGGGGGGGGGGGGGGGGGGGGGGGGGGGGGGGGGGGGGGGCACCGCGGGAGGAGCCGCGCCCCGCCGGGUUCCCAAGGGAGGCUGCGGAGACCCCGCGGAGAGAGCACGGAUUGUCUCGUCUCAGGGGGGCAGGCACCGCGGCCAGCAGGUCCGGCUGUGACCUUGGGCUUGUCGCCCGAGGGCCUCUCAUCAGCUCAGCCGACCCGACUGCUGCAAGGAAAACUCGCCUCCGUCAAAAGCUAGGAGCUGGAUCCUCAAAGGUAAAAAGAGAGCUUUUCAUCGUAUUUUUGUCCACCGAUAACCUAUUCAACUAACUUACUAGAAAAACUAAAACAUUUCAACUGCCAUAAUUUCAGAAGUCAAGGGUGCAACAUGAUAACCACCACCUCCCAGAAGAAAACAGACAUGCUCCACCAGCCAAACGUCUUCAAGGCACCUCUGGGUCUCCAGCUACAGCACUGAGAAGGCAUUGCUAGCCUAACAAUAAAACCAUGAGUUCUCA
rnacentral:lncRNA from 12 species